rnacentral:lncRNA from 1 species
ACAUUGAGUGUAUAUAUGAUAUAUACUCAAGGAAAUGGUAAAGUACCAUUUGACCCGAAAUAAUGAAACCUUUAUAAGCUAAUUGGUAGCUUAAGGUCACUACAAUCAAAGAGAAUGGUUGACUUUUGAAGAAACCAUCUUUGAGAUAGUCUUGGUUUCAAUUAAUUCGAAGAUUGCUAGCUACAACUAAAUGGUGAUUCAAUGUUUGGACAUAAUAUGGGUUUUACGAAACCAUUAUUAAGAUAGUCUUGAUACUAUAUGUCUAAAACUUUGAAUCACAAGACAUGUAAGUUGUAUAGAUCCAUCCAUCAUGGAUCUUAGCAAGCUAGUGGGAGCUAUAAGCGUCUUAUGAGAGAAAGGUCAAAUCGUUUGAUUUCUCAUAAAGAUGUAAAUGAAUCUUUUGUUUACUAGGUUUACAAAAGAUUAGUGGGAGUUAAUCAUAUUCCUAAAUUUGUAUAUAUAUAUAUAUAAAUAUAUAUGUGAUAUAUAUGAAUAUUAUAUAUAUAUUAAUUUUGGAAAAGAAAAGAAUAUUUCUUUGUUAAAGUUAUGACUUUAAGCAUUCUAUAACGAUAGAAUGUAUAUAGGAGACAUAGUCUAUGAACAUGGGAUGGAAAUCUAUAAUGAUAGAUUUUAGGAUAUAAUUGGAUUAUAUCAAGCCCUAAAUAAUAGACAAGAGAUGCUAGGAAGUUUCUCAUAUGAUGAUAAACUUCAAUCAAAUGGACAACUCUAGUAAGACUAAGAAGUUGCUCUUCUCAAAGGGAACGUGCCCUUUUGACUCCCAAAGAAAUAAUGCGUAAAUAGAAUCCUUUAUGCAUACGCAUAAAGGUGAUUUAUGUAUUUCAUAUUGUAUGAAAAAUAUUGAUAUGACUUGUACCUAGAACGGUACAAGACGAUAUCAGUGUAAGCCCAGGAUCAGAACCAUGGCAACUGUCAAGUGAGUCCUUAAGUAUUUAAGAAAUACUAAAGGAUAGAUUCCUCAAAGAUCGAGGAAGAAUUAGAGUAACGUAAUGGAAGCGUAAAUGUAUUAGAUUAUGAAUCUAAUCCAUCAUUGGAUGUUUCUUCAUUAUGAAUGAAGAGAUACACGGAUAUCUCUUUAUUAUGACUAAAGAGAUAUUUGGAUGGAAACAUUAAAGUAAUGACUUUAGUGUGUUCCAUUAUGAAUGCAAAAUAUAUUGCCAUAUAGAAGCUUAUAACAAUGUUGUUUGGAUGAGAAAGUUCAUUUAUGAACUCUCUAUUCGGUUCCAACCAGAAAGUGUAUCUAGUGUACUGACACUAUGACACUAAUGGGGCGAUAGCUCAAGCCAGGGAAUCAAGGUCUCAUCAAGGUCCGAACACAAAUGAGAAACUGAACCACAUGAUUGAGAAUCAUGUAUAAUGGUGACGUCGUUAUUCUCAAGGUUGCUUCUAUGGAUAACAUA